CCUCUGAGCUGUACUGGGACACAAAGAACGGAAUAAUCCAGGAGCGUUCCUGACAUUGUGGCUCAGGUAGGCAGCCACUUUGAAAAGAAAUUGCCCUCGCCUCAUGUGAAGCCAUGUUUUUGGAACACUUCAAAUGUGAUGAUAUUUCUCAGGUCCAGCUCCAAGACUCUGAAACAGACAAGACAAUAUGUGACAUAGACCCAGAGCAGUCAAUAUGCGGUCUCCUGUUCUGGUGUGAACAGCCCGUGCCCCAGAAGAUCCACAAAUAUGAUUGGUUACAG